CGAAUAUUCCUUUCCCCAGUAGGUAUUUUUCUUUAAUUUAAACCAUUGUUUGGUUCCUGGUAAAAGACCACCAGCACACUCCAGCUAGAAAAGCAGAUCAGUGCCUUGCUCAGCCAUCAUCAGAGAAGCUUCGUCCUGCCACAGAUGGGUACAAACACAGAGACGCACAGCCAGAUGCUACACAGAGAGUGGAAAAGACCUUGGUACACUCAACCCUAAAUGGAUGUCUCUAUCAAAUCCCUCCCCUCAGGGCUCAGGGAACCCUAUAGGAGAGGAGGCAGAAAAAAAAAAUCCCUCUGCUCCCUCUGAAACGAGAGAGAAGCCAAAAUUUCUCUACUUGAAGAUUGGUCAUGGAAACCAGAUCUCUCUCCAUCUACUAAUGCCUCAAAACAUUAAGAGAUCACUGGCCCACUGCUCCCUUUCUCCUCAAAACACCCCGAGUGACAGCGGUCCUGCCCCACCAAGGAGAAAGAAAGGCCACCCUGAGAUGCUCAGAGGACUCCAGCAGACAAGCUCCCCGCCGUCAUCAUCAGUUAGACUCAUUUUAUCAGUAACCAUUCUCUAUCACACAAGCAGGAAAGGAGACAGCUUUUCCUCACCUCACAGGUUUUUUUCCCUGAAGAAUUCCUUGUUACAUAAAAUUCUGGUUUAAAAACA